CAUAAAACAAAGUUGUUAUGUCUCAUUUAUAAUUGUUCAGCCUCGCUAUUUGAUUUGCAAGUAGACACAGUCACUAUAAUAUCCUGCUGGGUUGUUUUACAGUUCUAGAUGUACCCAGUUAUAGCGUCUGCGUGUUCCAUACACACCUUACAGUGAAAACAUUACUUAUAUUGCUGAUUCAUCUCAAAUCUUUUCUCAAGCUGCACUGAAACCUCACAGUCUGUCCUUUGGCCUUAGAAGGAGCCCAGUACCACCUGGGAUAUCUAUUUUUGUCUUCUGAAAGAGUAUUCUAGAACAGCAAGUUCUUACCCCAAUAUACAAAGGAUCUCCAGUUGGUUUCCAUUACCAGGACUGCACACAGCAGAAGAACAAAGUUCUGUGACCUCCAGGGAUUGGCCUGUUCAGGGAUUUCAAGGCAGAAAGGUUCAUCACCUUCUGAAAAACAUAAAGUCAGAGGGUGAGUUAUGGACAUACAGUACCAGCAGUGCCACAGCAUUUAACAUACCAUAUAAAGAUUCUAGACUGGAAAAGGGGAGAUUCCCUAUAUAUACCAACACUGAUUUUCAGCCUUAGGAAAGCAGCCUUCACCAUUAGAUAAUUAGUGAUCUGAGUGCCAUCCUUCUGUAUUCUACAGGCCUGAGUAGCUGCACUAGCGGACUGUCCCUUCCCAGCUCCCAUUCUGGCUUCACUGAAGUUUAGAUAAGCAGCCAGUUGAUGACAGCUCACAAGGAGGAUUUUUAAUUCUUGGCCUUAACAUUAAAAUAGAAAAAGAAAAAAGGUGAUUCUUUAUUUCCCAUGGGAAUUAUUUUAGCUUUAAGUUAAGGCUGUAGAAUAAGGACUACAUGGCAUUCCUGAUAUUAGUGCUUAGCAGUCAAAAUACCCUCAAGGGUUAAAAAGCAAAACAUAAUUAGCAGCAUCUUAGGAGUACAUCAUUAAAUUUGCAUCUUUGUCAUUAGUAUAAGAUGGGUAUUCUGAGCAUACAAUCAGAUUCCAUUCCCUACCACAUUAUAAACAUUAGCUCAUGCUCUUCACAUUUCAAAGGUCUUUCACAAGGCUUCUGUCUGAGGUCCUCAGUUGGACUUGCAGCCUGCUUGCAGGGUUUUAUGGAUCCCCAUUCAGAUUCACAGGUGUAUUUUCAAUUGUGGGGUGUCUGGGUUUAUUUUUUAGAUGAUUGACAAAUCUCAUGCAACAAAAAAAAAAGUCCAUUAGAUGAUGAUGCAUUUUCCACUGGCAUCACAAAGAAGAGUCUGAAGGGAAUCUCUGGAGCUGAGACUGAACCCUCCUUAUUUUUGCGUAGCAAAUUCUGCAGGAAGAGCUCCACUGACUUGCUAGGGAUGUGAUGUAGGGUCACUAGUCCUGCGGUCAGUAAGAUACACAACUCUCUGUAAAACAUCAGUCAAAUGUAAAUUCUUGCACACUCACUGAUCAUUUGUGGAGAGUAAGAUGCUUUUCAGUAGGGCUGGGAACAGAAUAUUUUCUGCUCCCCUCAGACUCACCUUCUAAGGCAGGUCCUCUCUAGCUCUGUUCCUGUUUGAUUUCAGCUGGCCAAGGGAGAAAAGUUGGAAGACGUUGAAGUGGUGUCUGACCCACCAGAUGAGAGUGCAUCUCUAGAAGUCACUGUGGAGGCAUCCUGCAGUGUCAUAAACUUGCAUGAGGCCAACCCCAACAAACCCAGGAGAAGAUUUCUAGCAGACUACAACCUUGGAUACCAAAACAGAGCAAAUGAAACUCUCUAUAUAAAAUAUGAGGAUUGGAUCGCUAAGAGGAUAAUGAACAGGUUCUUAAGGAAAAAAAAGGUAAAAUCGUUUUGCUGACCAGAAAAAAAUAGUUCUUUUUAAUCCCCUUUGUGUGCCGCUGCCUCUCCUGCAAUAUCUAACUGAAGUUUUCCUGGAUUUAGUCAAGCAUAACCUUUCUUUUUCUUGGUUCUAUUAGCUGGCAAGGUAUGCGGAAAAAGUGUUUCAUUUUAUUGGGUUUUGUGCAACACAAAAAUGAAAACAUCCCUUCAUGAUUGUACUGUGACCUAUCCUACAGGUAACAGGUUCAUGGCUUCCUUGGGGAAGUAGUCUUUUAAUUAUCUGUCACAAACACCAUGCUCAUGUAAAGUAUGAGGAAUAUACAUCUCCAUAAGGGAUGUAUGCUUGUGAUUAAAUAUAUGGAGGAAACAUUAGGGACCUCCACAUGGUCUGGUCAUCUGAGGUGCUUUGGAGCACUGUUUUCCUCAGCAUUAUGAAGGCCUUACAGAUGUACAGACAAUGUGGACAAAUGCCCUUCACGCCAUAGCUCGUCUCCAGCUGUGAGUUGGUAAUGCACAUAAGAGAUUCACAUGGAUUUGUCUGGAGCCAAACACAAGUCACAGGUAGCAAUGAGGAGAGGAUGGCUCAGGAACCUCAGAGGAUGAGCUCUGGGAAGGCACAUGGAUAUUGGCAGCCAAGACAAACCUCCCCCUCCUCUCCCGACCCCUACUAGGGCUGGCGUGGGGCUGCAGGUUCUUGGGUAUGUGCGCUUUGUGGGUAUGUGUCUGGGGCGCUUUGCACAAGGUGAGCCCUCUCUGUGAGCCCUAGAGACUUUAAAAUGCUAUAAGAAGCUUUUUAAAUGAAAACUGAGACACUGAUAAUCCCACGUGGCUGUUGGACACUAAACCAACAGUAUCUGAGUCUUAGUUUAGCUCUUGUAACUGGUCAGAAAAUCUUAUAGGCCCAAUAGUGAUCACAAAGCCCAUAACUUUAUAGCCAGAAAUUAUGAAAAAAUUGUAAUAAAGCAACAACAAAUCCUUAAUUAUUUUAAUGUCAGAUAAUUCUGACAUUACCGAUUCCUCCUGCUUACGUGUAGCAUCCAGAGCUUGAAAUUCCUCUAAAUGGGUGCCUGUCACUCUUGUUCCACAAUUGUGUGGGUAAAACCCAACAAGAUGAGUUUAACUUCUGAAAAGGUGAAAAGCCCUUUAGGUCUCUGCAGGAUACUUUACUGAACAGAAAAGCUGUGCUUUAGAAUCCAGCUUAUUAAAAUGGCAAAGUCAAGGACUGUCAAAACCAUGGCAAAUGCUGUGAGCCUGUCAUACUGAAAUUGUAGGGCCAGAUGGUGAGAAACUUUCCCGCUGGUCAGGGAACUUUCUGAAGGCUCAAUUACUUAUGUCAGAUUUUUAUUGUUAUUAUUUAGAUUUUUUAUUUUAUUUUUUCAUUUUGGAGGAUAAGGACUAAACUGGGAUUACCUCUCAUUUGUCAUAGGCUUAAGGCAUUUAUCACCUAGUAUACACCAGCUGCUUUGUAGUAAUGUGAAGUCCUGGAAUAACCUUUUCAUUUGAAAAUGCCUUUGGUAAAGGAAGGUCUGUUUACUUGAUGUGCGUUCUAUGUACCUCCACAAUCUUAGCAAAGCAGAACUGAAAUGCAGUGGCACGGAUUUUGUUAUUUUCUUAAGAGAUGUGAAGUAACAGAAUGUUUGCAGGACAGUCCUAAUCAAACACAAAGGAUGCCUGAAAGAAUAACCAGUGCUGAAUACAGACUAAUCACUGACCUGGCAGCUGGUUUACUAUGCUGAUAGCGCUCUUCAACCAACCAUACCAGGCCCCAGGAAUCUUUAUCCAGCUGCUUUGCUUUCCCCUGUAUUUUGAAGGCAUGUCUUGUGACCUGUCACUUGCUAGAUGUGUUUGAUGUGAAAUUUGAGUCUGUCCGUAGUAAAUCUUACUGCAGGAAUGUGCUUAUUUUGCUCUCUGCUGGAGGUAAUGCUGAAUAGUUUAGUUUCCAGUUUUGUUGACGUUUCAGGUCCGGUUUGUGUUGUAAAGGUGAUAAUCACAUUUUAGGAGGAAAAUUGGCAUGCGUGGUCUACAAAUAGGAGACCCACAGCCUGCAGCUUUGCUUUAGCUUCCCCCUGCCUGUGGCUGCCUACAGGGAAACAGGACAUUUGUGUGAAGCUCACGGGAGGAGCGGUGCUAAAAAUACUGAUGGGCAAGUUCACAGCUAAGGUUGCUGAGGAUCUGUUAACUUCCCAACCAGUCAGUACUCCCAGCACAUCUCAAGAAGAGAUUUAGAGAUGGACGAGGUAAUUUGCAGAGGCAGUAAUCCCCAUAAGAUCAAGGAAAUCUAAUAGUUUUUCCUUCACAUCCCUCCAACUCUUCAUUUCUCCCUUCACAAAUGAGGAAGAAGCCACUACUAUUCAACCACGGGGCUUAAACUGAAGAUAUAGCUCUCCAGACAAAUCGCUAAACCUCAGUCUACCUCAGCCCCGACCACUACUCUGAGAUCUGAUAAGCUCCCAUUCUACAAGCAGGCAGUACCAGGUGCUGUAAAGGUACACAAGCUGCGAUAGGAGAAUGACCACAGGAAGAUAAAUCACUGAAAAAGAACAGCGUAUAAACGAAGCAUUGUUUGAAACAGGUUAAGCACGCUUUGCUAUGGACUUAUCAGCUAACUUCCCUCUACCUGCUCAUAUUAAAGAUGAUGGAUUCACUGAACACCACAGCACAAAAGCAGUACGGGAACUGGCCUGAGAAAGACCCUUCUGACCCUGACACCUGCAUGUGGAAAGCUCUUUCAUAAACAACCAGUACAAGGAAGCUGAUCAGCCUUGUCCAAAUGACCAAAAGUAUGUUCAACUCACUUCAUGAGUGUACAC